rnacentral:lncRNA from 1 species
CUUGGUCGACUCAAAAGUAUGUCAAGCAUACCAAAAUUGAUUUUAGGUAGCUUUUAUUAUUCAAACAUAUUUUAAGCUUGACAUGCCUUCUCAAACAUAAUUUAUACACAGUUAAGCUUGUUGAGAAAUCUUUUUAGACUAUACUUUCCAUUUAUCCAAAUAUUUUCAUAUCGAAUUCAAUUUCUUUGCUUCCAAAUAUGAAUCUUUGACUUGAAAAUGUAGAUUCAUUUAAAUUUGAGAAGACUUCUUUUUGGAUGAACUCAACCAU